CAGUCGCCGCGGGAAUACGUAGGGUGCAAGCGUUAAUCGGAAUUACUGGGCGUAAAGCGUGCGCAGGCGGUUUGUUAAGACAGAUGUGAAAUCCCCGGGCUUAACCUGGGAACUGCAUUUGUGACUGGCAAGCUAGAGUAUGGCAGAGGGGGGUGGAAUUCCGCGUGUAGCAGUGAAAUGCGUAGAUAUGCGGAGGAACACCGAUGGCGAAGGCAGCCCCCUGGGACAACACUGACGCUGAGGCACGAAAGCGUGGGGAGCAAACAGGAUUAGAUACCCGAGUAGUCCCUGUCUCUUAUAC
rnacentral:rRNA from 1 species